UACGAAGGGGGCGAGCGUUGUUCGGAAUUACUGGGCGUAAAGGGCGCGCAGGCGGCCUUAGAAGUCAGAUGUGAAAGCCCCGGGCUCAACCUGGGAAUGGCAUUUGAUACUCUGAGGCUGGAGUACGGGAGAGGAGAGUGGAAUUCCCAGUGUAGAAGGUGAAAUUCGUAGAUAUUGGGAAGAACACCGGUGGCGAAGGCGGCUCUCUGGACCGUAACUGACGCUGAGGCGCGAAAGCGUGGGGAGCAAACAGGGAUUAAGAAA
rnacentral:rRNA from 1 species